GACGAACGCUGGCGGCGUGCUUAACACAUGCAAGUCGAACGCUGAAGCUCAGCUUUUGUUGGGUGGAUGAGUGGCGAACGGGUGAGUAACACGUGAGUAACCUGCCCCCUUCUUUGGGAUAACGCCCGGAAACGGGUGCUAAUACUGGAUAUUCACUGGUCUUCGCAUGGGGGUUGGUGGUAAGGGUUUUUCUGGUGGGGGAUGGGCUCGCGGCCUAUCAGCUUGGUGGUGGGGUGAUGGACUACCAAGGCUGUGGCGGGUAGCCGGCCUGAGAGGGUGACCGGUCACAUUGGGACUGAGAUACGGCCCAGACUCCUACGGGAGGCAGCAGUGGGGAAUAUUGCACAAUGGGCGCAAGCCUGAUGCAGCGACGCCGCGUGAGGGAUGGAGGCCUUCGGGUUGUGAACCUCUUUCGCUCAUGGUCAAGCCGCAACAAUGGUUGUGGUGAGGGUAGUGGGUAAAGAAGCGCCGGCUAACUACGUG
rnacentral:rRNA from 1 species